UUAAUUGUUGUAAAAUAAACAUUGACAUCUGUGUCCCUUGGAGAUUACAGUCGUCAAGGUUUACAGGUAAUUAAAGGGGCAAAAACUUCCAUACAAUAAAUAGCAAUCGAUCUUUGCGGUAUUGGUUUAAAACAUAUAGAUAACGCUUUAUGAUGUGUAACUUUAACGGACACCCGGCACAUAGAAAUGCCGAAGCAAGCAGGAUAAUGUUUUACAAUCUGGCGAAUAUGAAACUUCGAGAACAUACGCAAUAGUUCGAAUUCGUAAAUAUUUAGACAACAAAUAUGUGAUUGUACAGGUUUUUGCAUGCUUGUAUUUCAAAGCGUUUAAAGACAAUUUGUUUUUAUUUCAAGAAGCCAAUGGUUGACAUCGACUUAAAUACAUCAAAUAUUUUCAAAGAGAGACAAAGUCAAAGCUCUGCCCCUGCGAUGCCAGCAUUUGUGAAGGUUUCUGGAACAAAGGCUUACCUUCUAUCUGCAGUUUUCAAGUCAAAAUUAGACGAGAAUAAUAGAACAGGUCUAAAAGGAGUCAGAAAUGGUAUUGUUGUAACAGAAUGGUAUGCACCUGUAAACAGUAAACCUAGGUAUGAGCCACUCUCUUGUUGUUUUUAUCACAAGAAUGGUGGCAUUUCGUCAGGACCAGCAGAACGUCGGAAAAGAUUUCAGGAAUCCAAAAGUGAUUUGUUUGAUGUUUUACAGUGCGUGUGUCCCAUUCAGGACUCCAAUAAGGGCCCGGUGACAAAAGUUUCGAUUGUUGAGGUCGAGGACGUUAUCCAAAUCGGAAAAUAAAUGGGAUAGCACUAUGUGCGAAAAUAAUGUAUGGAUCAUUAGAUGCUGGAUUUCUGAUAGAAUGGUUUGAAGCUCAGCGGCUGCUUGGGAUUAAUAAGAUAUUAUGUUAUAUACACCGUGACUUGAACGCAGAAGCAAAGGAAAUCGUAAAGUAUUACAAGAAAAAGAACUUUGCUGAAGCUAUUCCUUUUGAUGUUCCAGAAAACGACACGGACCCUCGUGAUAUUCGUUUUUCAUAGACAGAGCACGGAGUUUCCAUUCUCGACUGUCAGGAGCGAAUGAGUGUAUGCAAAUAUGCUGUCUUUCUUGAUGCCGAUGAAAUUCUAAUACCACAAAAUAUGAAAUUGCAAGGUUCGAUUCAGAGAUAUAUUCCAGCAAUUUUAGAUUCAAGUAGUAGAUUGGCUGGAGUGCACUUCAAAACAGUGAUACAUGUAAAGUCUUGGGAUGAAACCGAUCAAACUCAUCCUUUGUUCAUUGGAAGAAACGUUAACAGUACCCUCCCAAUGUGGAACAGACAGAAAUUUGUUUUCAAGCCAGACAGAAUAAUUCCUGCUUCGUGUAAGGCACAUAACUGCCGUACAAAGCCUGGAUA
rnacentral:lncRNA from 1 species